AAGAUUUUAAGUUAAACCUAAACUAAUAACCUUCAAAGUUAUCAAUAAAAUAAUUAAUUUUUAAGUCUUA
rnacentral:tRNA from 1 species